AUUGAACGCUGGCGGCAUGCUUUACACAUGCAAGUCGAACGGUAACAGGUUAAGCUGACGAGUGGCGAACGGGUGAGUAAUGCAUCGAAACGUGCCCGAUCGUGGGGGAUAACGCAGCGAAAGCUGCGCUAAUACCGCAUACGAUCUGAGGAUGAAAGCGGGGGACCGUAAGGCCUCGCGCGAUCGGAGCGGCCGAUGUCAGAUUAGGUAGUUGGUGGGGUAAAGGCCCACCAAGCCGACGAUCUGUAGCUGGUCUGAGAGGACGACCAGCCACACUGGGACUGAGACACGGCCCAGACUCCUACGGGAGGCAGCAGUGGGGAAUUUUGGACAAUGGGCGAAAGCCUGAUCCAGCAAUGCCGCGUGCAGGAAGAAGGCCUUCGGGUUGUAAACUGCUUUUGUACGGAGCGAAAAGGUCCUUUCUAAUACAAGGGGCUCAUGACGGUACCGUAAGAAUAAGCACCGGCUAACUACGUGCCAGCAGCCGCAGUAAUAC
rnacentral:rRNA from 1 species